UGAAUACGAGAUGCUACGGCGUCGAAGCAGUCUAUGUCAUACUUCCAAGAAAAGCUUGCACUGUCAUAAACAAAUAAUGCCUGUACCAUAACCGACACAGGUGGGUAGGUAGAGUAUACUAAGGGGCGCGAGAUAACUCUCUCUAAGGAACUCGGCAAAAUGACUCCGUAACUUCGGGAGAAGGAGUGCCUUAUUUAUAAGGUUGCAAUAACAAGACCCAAGCAACUGUUUAUCAAAAACACAGGUCUCCGCUAAGUCGUAAGACGAUGUAUGGGGGCUGACGCCUGCCCAGUGCCAGAAGGUUAAAGAAGUUGGUUAGCAUUAGCGAAGCUGAUGACUGAAGCCCUGGUGAACGGCGGCCGUAACAAUAACGGUCCUAAGGUAGCGAAAUUCCUUGUCGGGUAAGUUCCGACCCGCACGAAAGGCGUAAUGAUUUGGGUACUGUCUCAGAGAGGGACUCGGUGAAAUAGACUUGUCUGUGAAGAUGCGGACUACCUGCACCUGGACGGAAAGACCCUAUGAAGCUUUACUGUAACCUGAAAUUGAAAUUGGACUUUAUUUGCGCAGUAUAGGUGGGAGGCUUUGAAGAUAUUCUUGCGGGAAUGUUGGAGCCAUCAGUGAGAUACCACUCUUGUAAUGUUAGAUUUCUAACUUUGUAUCAUUAUCUGGUCAAAGAACAGUUUCAGGCGGGCAGUUUGACUGGGGCGGUCGCCUCCUAAACGGUAACGGAGGCGCACAAAGGUUUCCUCUGAACGGGUAGAAAUCGUAUCUAGAGUGUAAAGGCAUAAGGAAGCUUGACUGUGAGACCUACAAGUCGAGCAGGGACGAAAGUCGGUCUUAGUGAUCUGACGGUGCUGAGUGGAAAGGCCGUCACUCAACGGAUAAAAGUUACUCUAGGAUAACAGGCUGAUCUCCCCCAAGAGUUCACAUCGACGGGGAGGUUUGGCACCUCGAUGUCGGCUCAUCGCAUCCUGGGGCGGUAGUACGUCCCAAGGGUUGGGCUGUUCGCCCAUGAAAGCGGUACGCGAGCUGGGUUCAGAACGUCGUGAGACAGUUCGGUCCAUAUCCGGUGUAGGCGUUAGAAUAUUGAGAGGAGCCUUCUCUAGUACGAGGGGACCGAGAAGGACACACCUCUGGUGUACCAGUUAUCGUGCCAACGGUAAACGCUGGGUAGCUAUGUGUGAGCGGAUAACCGCUGAAAGCAUCUAAGUGGGAAGCCCACCUCGAGAUAAG
rnacentral:rRNA from 1 species